AAAGUCCCUGUCGGGAAAGGCCUAACCAGCCACCCGUAUUGAGUGUUGCGCCUAUGGCGGAGGGAGAAUGAUGCAGUGAUGUGUUGUUCGGAGCCCGAACAAGAUAGGUGAAGCGUACACAAAGAAAUGUGCAGGCCGUAGGGGUACCGCAGACCC
rfam:Chromatiales bacterium (ex Bugula neritina AB1) isolate AB1-2 AB833_contig000175, whole genome shotgun sequence.